ensembl:lncRNA
CGUCUCUGUGCUACUGUGUGGAACAGUUUGAUAAAACAUCCUGGUUUGGGAAAGAAAUUUUUAAAACUCUCUAGGCUAAGAGAUAACAAAUAAGCUUUCUUUUAUCUCUAUAGUUUUUUUUUUCCUGUAUCACUUCAUCGAUGGAAUAUUAGUCACCCUUGAUCUGUCUUAACCACUUCUUUGGACACUGCUUUUGUCAAUUUCCUAAAGUCUUUCCUCUUGAACGAAUUGGAUUCUCCAGAGGAAGAGCUUCGAAACUCUUGCCUGAAGGAUAGAGACAAGGCUGCUGACAUCCUGGAAGCAGAAUGAGAGCCACCAUGAGAUUACCAGAUCUCCUCCACCACAUGCUUCUGUGAUGUGCUGCCCUACCACAGACCCAGAGGAUCAUGGACUGAAAGCUCUGAAACCAUGAGUGAAAAGAAACCAUUCCUCCCUUAAGUUGAUUAUGUCAGGUAUUUUGUCAGAGCAAUGAAGAGCUAAUGCAGAGGAUGUCAAGGAAACUGCUCCUCCCUUCCUACACUCUCCUGUUUGUUACUGCCCAGCACCUGUGCUGUAACAUCCAAAGCAGGCUAUAGAACCCACAACUGUCCAGAUCCCCUCACUGGAGCCACAAAAGUCUGAAUGAAUCUGAGUCACAAAGAACCACAUCCAUUUGAUAUGCAGGUUCAGAAGUGUAAAAUAAAGUGUGCAGUGUCUGUUUGCUAGCCCCUUUCUGAUUUCUGACUUUUUGUUCAAAGAUCAAUCAUAAGAUCCAUGAGAGUCCAUGAAUAAGUGGCUGGCCACUCUGUUAGGCAUGUUGGAGAUCAAGCGUAUUGUGUCUGCCCUCAAGAAUCCAUAACCAGUCAGAGCACUCUGGCAACCACAUCUGAAAAGAGAAGGAAAGACCCCAGGCUGUGUGCAAUUAAGAGCCACUGGAAAGGUGUUCUGAGAUGUACCAUAGUUGUCCUCAGUGAUCUCCCUAAUGCUUCCACUAAGUUGUGAAUUCUUUAAAGGUUUUUGUUUUUUUUAUUUUUGGACUUCAGUGCAUAGCAGUGAGAGGGGCAUGUGCCAACUGCUCAUAAGCAUCUUUUGAAUGAAUGAAUGAGUGAGGGGACAAAUGAACAAGUGAAGGAAUGAAUAUGUUCCAAGGAAGGAAUACUGCAGAGAGCAGAGAGCUGGAGUGGUGAGGUAGUGCAUCCAGGAGGAAACAGGACUACAGCCAAACAGGGAGUUGUCAUCCAGUGACUCUGUAGACCUGAAAGAAUCUUCCAAAGGUCAAGAUGGUCUCUAGAAAGGGACUAACCUGGGACUGAGCAUGGAAGUCAGGAAGUCGGGCUUGUGAUAAACUUUGGUGAGACGGAUGGAGAUGAAUGGAUGUCAUGGGAACACCCAGCUAAGCCAUUCCAGGAGAGACUAAGCAGAGCAGUGAUGACCGUGAUUGUUAAUGUGAAACAGAAAACAGGAGAAAAAACAAGACUCUAUGUUAAAGAUGGAGCGGGAAUCAUGGCUUCUGACUAAAGGAGAACAACAAGUAGGAUGACAACGGCAACAACAACAACAACACAAGAUUUAAGUGAGCUAUCAAAGAGAAAGAGACCGCCAGCAAAAGGCUGCCACACAAAGGAAAAGGAAAUCCACAGUGCUGGGAGACACCGAAGGGACCAGGGGAUGUGCACACCAGUGUUUGUAUCUUCUCUCUGUGUGUACACAGUCCAUGAGAGUAAAUUAUUGUCAUGGGUAAGGGUUUAACAUUCUUGACCUAUACUAUGGCUUAAAAAAAAAAAGUAUGCAACAUGACUGGAAUGCCAAUUUGAAGUGGAGAAGCAUUUAGGGAGAAUGAAUAGACUGUGCUUCAGAAGUAUUUUCAUGGAAGGGAAUGAGCCUCUUUAAUUUGUUCUCUGCAGAGGCUUUGAGAGAGCUAACAUUGUAACCUGCUAAGUCAGGCACCAUGUGCAUAAUAAUGCAGAGAUGAUGGCUUAAGAGUUACUGUGCUACUAGGUUUUGGUGUUAAGGCAGCAGUAAUUGUUGCAAAAGUCACUGAUAAUUUUGGUUAGCAAGUGAUACAAAUGGAACUGGUCGGGUAUGCUGUUCUUUGGGACCCUCCCUCACCCACAGCCUCUGAACUCUGCAAAUCCUGAUGCAGUGUCCUUUAGUCCCCUUUCAUUACCUACAUAGCUGGUGCAUGCAGUUGGGAAGUGUGGUGGCGGGGCCCAUUCCAAAGGAGUCCACUGCCUCACAGUCCCUGGUGCUGGAGGAGCAAAGCCAUUGCUUUCAUUCAGCUGGAAGAGAAUGAAACCCACAUUCUAUGCUGUUGUCUCACUGCAAGCCAGGCCUUCAAUUGGAAUGUUGGUGUCAAUAUUUAAAGAGGUGUGCCAUGACAGCUUAGAAGUGAGGCGUCCUGAGGGCAGAGGUGACUUCACCUCCGGGUUAAUCCUGCUUUGGAAUUGUUUUCUGUGCUUUUACUGCCCCUGGUUCCUAGGAAACAUGGUUGCUGUUUGUGGAGUGGCAAAUAGGGCUACGCUUAGAUUCUGGACUGGCAGUUAACAUUUUGCAUUAAUCCCAUGCUUUAUCCAUCAAUCCCCCUUUUUCCCUCCACCUUCUUGCCCUCUGAUGAACAUUAACAAUGUUGGCACCUAACCACACUUCUCAUUCGGCUUCCGCUGACUUCUGUCCUGUGAGGUGCACAGAAAUAAAAAUGUCAGUUUGUCAGUCCCUUUUAUGCUUACAAAGUGUUCCUAGUGUGAAGACCCAACCAUGAGCCGAUCAUCUUCACCCUCGAGCAAAUCCAUGUAACAAACAUUUAUUGAGCCAUGUGAUGCAACAUGGAAGCAAUUCAAGGUAACAAACAUUUAUUGACCCUCUGAUUGUAAUUGAUCCAAGGUCCUGAGUCAUUAACAAAAUUGUUUUUGUGACUUUCAUGAGGAUGUCAAGGUGAUUCUUGCAGUUAGCAUGUGGGCAUGUGAUUAUAUCUGUCCAUGGUGGGGAGGAG